rnacentral:rRNA from 1 species
AUCUACGGCCAUACCACCUGAACAGGCUCGAUCCCGUCUGAUCUCGGAAGCUAAGCAGAGUCGGACCUGGUUAGUACUUGGAUGGGAGACCACCUAGGAAGACCAGGUGCUGUAGGCA